rnacentral:rRNA from 1 species
UGCGUAGGCGGAUUAAUAAGUCAGUGGUGAAAUCUCUCGGCUCAACCGGGAAACUGCCAUUGAUACUGUUAAUCUUGAGUUCGGUUGAGGUAGGCGGAAUGUGUAAUGUAGCGGUGAAAUGCUUAGAUAUUACACAGAACACCAAUUGCGUAGGCAGCUUGCUAGACCGACACUGACGCUGAGGCACGAAAGCGUGGGGAGCGAACAGGAUUAGAUACCCUGGUAGUCC